UGGGGAAUAUUGCACAAUGGGCGCAAGCCUGAUGCAGCCAUGCCGCGUGUAUGAAGAAGGCCUUCGGGUUGUAAAGUAAUUUCAGCGGGGAGGAAGGGAGUAAAGUUAAUACCUUUGCUCAUUGACGUUACCCGCAGAAGAAGCACCGGCUAACUCCGUGCCAGCAGCCGCGGUAAUACGGAGGGUGCAAGCGUUAAUCGGAAUUACUGGGCGUAAAGCGCACGCAGGCGGUUUGUUAAGUCAGAUGUGAAAUCCCCGGGCUCAACCUGGGAACUGCAUCGGAUACUGGCAAGCUGGAGUCUCGUAGAGGGGGGUAGAAUUCCAGGUGUAGCGGUGAAAUGCGUAGAGAUCUGGAGGAAUACCGGUGGCGAAGGCGGCCCCCUGGACGAAGACUGACGCUCAGGUGCGAAAGCGUGGGGAGCAAACAGG
rnacentral:rRNA from 1 species